CCUACGGGUGGCAGCAGUGGGGAAUCUUGCACAAUGGGCGAAAGCCUGAUGCAGCGACGCCGCGUGAGUGAAGAAGGAUUUCGGUACGUAAAGCUCUAUCAGCAGGGAAGAAAAUGACGGUACCUGACUAAGAAGCCCCGGCUAACUACGUGGCCGCAGCCGCGGUACUACGUAGGGGGCAAGCGGUAUCCGGAUUUUCUGGGUGGGAAGGGAGCGGAGAGGGCGUAGAUAGGCUGAAGGGAAAAGCCAGGGGUCAACCCUGGGUAUGCUUUGGAAACUGGUUAGCUAGAGUGUAAGAGAGGUGAGUGGAAUUCCUAGUGUAGCGGUGAAAUGCGUAGAUAUUAGGAGGAACACCAGUGGCGAAGGCGGCUUACUGGACGAUAACUGACGUUGAGGCUCGAAAGCGUGGGGAGCAAACAGGAUUAGAUACCCGUGUAGUC
rnacentral:rRNA from 1 species